rnacentral:tRNA from 1 species
AACAAAUUAUAGUUCAUUUAGAGAACGUUUCACUUACACUGAAAUAGUAACUGUGCAAUUCAGUUUGAUUUGAU